AACGAACGCUGGCGGCAGGCUUAACACAUGCAAGUCGAGCGCCCCGCAAGGGGAGCGGCAGACGGGUGAGUAACGCGUGGGAAUCUACCCAUCUCUACGGAAUAACGCAUGGAAACGUGUGCUAAUACCGUAUACUUCCUUCGGGAGAAAGAUUUAUCGGAGAUGGAGGAGCCCGCGUUGGAUUAGCUAGUUGGUGGGGUAAAGGCCUACCAAGGCGACGAUCCAUAGCUGGUCUGAGAGGAUGAUCAGCCACACUGGGACUGAGACACGGCCCAGACUCCUACGGGAGGCAGCAGUGGGGAAUAUUGGACAAUGGGCGCAAGCCUGAUCCAGCCAUGCCGCGUGAGUGAUGAAGGCCCUAGGGUUGUAAAGCUCUUUCACCGGUGAAGAUAAUGACGGUAACCGGAGAAGAAGCCCCGGCUAACUUCGUGCCAGCAGCCGCCGCAGUAA
rnacentral:rRNA from 1 species